rnacentral:rRNA from 1 species
GUAGUCUCGCACAGAUGCAUAUCAAUAAGCGGAGGAAAAGAAACUAACAAGGAUUCCCCUAGUAACGGCGAGUGAAGCGGGAAGAGCUCAAAUUUGAAAUCUUAAAGGGUUUCCCUUUACGAAUUGUAGUUUAAAGAAGUGUUUUCUGUUGAGGUUUUGGUAAAAGUUCUUUGGAAUAGGACAUCAUAGAGGGUGAGAAUCCCGUAUUUGACCUUUACUUUCAACUUUGUGAUACACUUUCAAAGAGUCGGAUUGUUAGGGAAUGCAGUCCAAAAUGGGUGGUAAAUUUCAUCUAAAGCUAAAUAUUGGCGAGAGGACCGAUAGCGAACAAGUACCGUGAGGGAAAGAUGAAAAGAACUUUGAAAAGAGAGUUAAACAGUACGUGAAAUUGUCAAAAGGGAAGCGUUUGACACCAGUGUUGUUUUUCUGAAAAUCAAUUAAAGAACUGUUUAUGCUAAGUUGUUUAGACUUUAUCAGCUAACUGUUUAGUUUUGAGCUUUUCUUUAAUGCACUUUUCAGUUAACAAGUCAACAUCAAUUUCUUUUGCUGUAAAAAAGCUUGAGGAAGGUGGCUUGAGACUCGUCUUAAGUGUUUAUAGCCUCUUGCCUAGUGCAGUCGGAGAGAUUGAGGUCUGCAGCGUAGAUCCUUCGGGGCUAAAUGCAUUUGUGCUAAGUUAUAACAUUUUAUAGACAACUUGUUGACUAUGAUUUGUCUUGUAGCUUACUCGCUUAUGUUAUUUUACCUACGCUUAGGAUGUUGAUCUGUAGUGCGUGCGC